rnacentral:snRNA from 1 species
GGAUAUGGCUGCAACAUCUGUCACCUCAUUGGUCACCAUGGUCCACUGAUCUGUCUGGCUAGGCAAGUGUCUCCACUCUCCAUGUGCAUCCUGCAUGAAUCUGCAGUCAGUGGAAAAGCACAACCUUCCACGAUAGAGGAGGACUGUUCUAUGGUCAGGUGCACACCAGUAGCUGCACUCCCUUGCUGGAAUCUCCAAACAAGUUCUCUAAUAGGACCAACCUCAUAGAAUUGUUGUGAGCAUCAAAUGAAUAUAUAUGCAUAAAGCACAUGAAAAAAUGCU